GAUGAACGCUGGCGGCGUGCCUAAUACAUGCAAGUCGAGCGAACGGACGAGAAGCUUGCUUCUCUGCUGUUAGCGGCGGGCGGGUGAGUAACACGUGGAUAACCUACCUAUAAGACUGGGGUAACUUCGGGAAACCGGAGCUAAUACCGGAUGAUAUUUUGAAACGCAUGGUUCAAAAGUGAAAGACGGUCUUGCUGUCACUUAUAGAUGGAUCCGCGUUGCAUUAGCUAGUUGGUACGGUAACGGCUUACCAAGGCGACGAUGCAUAGCCGAUCUGAGAGGGUGAUCGGCCACACUGGAACUGAGACACGGUCCAGACUCCUACGGGAGGCAGCAGUAGGGAAUCUUCCGCAAUGGGCGAAAGCCUGACGGAGCAACGCCGCGUGAGUGAUGAAGGUCUUCGGAUCGUAAAACUCUUUUAUUUGGGAAGAACAUAUGUGUAUUUAACUGUGCAUAUCUUGACGGUACCUAAUCAGAAAGCCACGGCUAACUACGUG
rnacentral:rRNA from 1 species